rnacentral:tRNA from 1 species
CACGCCAUCGUCUAGCAGCCUAGGACGCGGAGCUUGCUCCUCCGAGACAUCGGUGCGAAUCCGAUUGGCGUGACCA